rnacentral:rRNA from 1 species
GACGAACGCUGGCGGCGUGCCUAAUACAUGCAAGUCGAACGCUUCUUUCUCACCGAGUGCUUGCACUCACCGAGAAAGAGGAGUGGCGGACGGGUGAGUAACACGUGGGUAACCUGCCCAUCAGAAGGGGAUAACACUUGGAAACAGGUGCUAAUACCGUAUAACAAUCGGAACCGCAUGGUUCUGAUUUGAAAGGCGCUUUCGGGUGUCGCUGAUGGAUGGACCCGCGGUGCAUUAGCUAGUUGGUGAGGUAACGGCUCACCAAGGCAACGAUGCAUAGCCGACCUGAGAGGGUGAUCGGCCACACUGGGACUGAGACACGGCCCAGACUCCUACGGGAGGCAGCAGUAGGGAAUCUUCGGCAAUGGACGAAAGUCUGACCGAGCAACGCCGCGUGAGUGAAGAAGGUUUUCGGAUCGUAAAACUCUGUUGUUAGAGAAGAACAAGUGGGAGAGUAACUGUUCCCGCCUUGACGGUAUCUAACCAGAAAGCCACGGCUAACUACGUGCCAGCAGCCGCAGUAAUAC